rnacentral:rRNA from 1 species
CAGGACGAACGCUGGCGGCGUGCCUAAUACAUGCAAGUCGAACGGUCUUUCUAUGGAAGCUUGCUUCCACUGAGAAGAUAGUGGCGAACGGGUGAGUAACACGUGGGUAACCUGCCCAUAAGAGGGGGAUAACAUCCGGAAACGGGUGCUAAUACCGCAUAGUUUUCUUGAUCGCAUGAUCGGGAAAGGAAAGACGGCCUUUGUGCUGUCGCUUAUGGAUGGACCCGCGGCGUAUUAGUUAGUUGGUGAGGUAACGGCUCACCAAGACGAUGAUACGUAGCCGACCUGAGAGGGUGAUCGGCCACAUUGGGACUGAGACACGGCCCAAACUCCUACGGGAGGCAGCAGUAGGGAAUCUUCCGCAAUGGACGAAAGUCUGACGGAGCAACGCCGCGUGAGUGAAGAAGGUUUUCGGGAAUCGUAAAACUCUGUUGUCAGAGAAGAACAAGUUGGAGAGUAACUGCUCCAGCCUUGACGGUAUCUGACCAGAAAGCCACGGCUAACUACGUGCCAGCAGCAGC